AUUGAACGCUGGCGGAAUGCUUUACACAUGCAAGUCGAACGGCAGCACGGACUUCGGUCUGGUGGCGAGUGGCGAACGGGUGAGUAAUGUAUCGGAACGUGCCCAGUUGUGGGGGAUAACGUAGUGAAAAUUACGCUAAUACCGCAUACGAUCUAUGGAUGAAAGCGGGGGAUCGCAAGACCUAGCGCGAUUGGAGCGGCCGAUAUCAGAUUAGGUAGUUGGUGGGGUAAAGGCCCACCAAGCCAACGAUCUGUAGCUGGUCUGAGAGGACGUCCAGCCAAACUGGAACUGAGACACGGUCCAGACGCCUCGGGAGGCAGCAGGGGGGAAUUUUGGACAAUUGGCGAAAGCCUGAUCCAGCCAUUCCGCGUGCAGGAUGAAGGCCCUCGGGUUGUAAACUGCUUUUGUACAGAACGAAAAGGUUUCUACUAAUACUAGGAGCUCAUGACGGUACUGUAAGAAUAAGCACCGGCUAACUAUGUGCCAGCAGCCGCCGUAA
rnacentral:rRNA from 1 species